rnacentral:misc_RNA from 1 species
AUGCUUUGCAAAGAGAGAAGCACCAAAGUUAAUUAACCUCAUCUAUUGUUCUGCAGAAGAAAAAAGUGUUUGCUUACAUUUUUUGUAUUCCCAUGUAAUCUAAUUCUGGUACGUGGAAUAGGUAGAAGAAAAUCCGGAUAUAGAGACUCUUUCCCUUUUUCUGAUUUUAUUUUCUGGGGGUAUUCCCUUUGUACAUCUUGUAUCGGCUAGGCUUUGUUUCAUUGCUUCUUGAGAGGAAUUAAAAGAUUUAUUUGUAAUUUUUUUUUUUAAAAUAGCAGUAAUCUCAUUCUUUCCAUUUUGGAACUGACCGCACUUGUAUACGCAAUUGGUUCAAUGUGCAUAAUUGAGCUUUUGCUUUG